rnacentral:rRNA from 1 species
GAUGAACGCUAGCGAUAGGCCUAACACAUGCAAGUCGAGGGGCAGCACAUGAGUAGCAAUACGAUGGUGGCGACCGGCGCACGGGUGAGUAACACGUAUGCAACCUACCUUUAACAGGGGAAUAACCCGUUGAAAAACGGACUAAUACUCCAUAACACAGGGGUCCCGCAUGGGAAUAUUUGUUAAAGAUUUAUCGGUUGAAGAUGGGCAUGCGUUCAUUAGCUUGUGGUGAGGUAACGGCCCACCAAGGCGACGAUCAGUAGCCGGGCUUGAGAGAGUGAACGGCCACACUGGAACUGAGACACGGUCCAGACUCCUACGGGAGGCAGCAGUGGGGAAUAUGCGCAAUGGGGGGAAACCCUGACGCAGCAAACGCCGCGUGAAUGAAGAA